AAUGAACGCUGGCGGCAGGCCUAACACAUGCAAGUCGAGCGCAGUUAUGAUCUUCGGAUUAUAACCGAGCGGCGGACGGGUUAGUAACGCGUGGGAACAUACCCUUCUCUACGGAAUAGCCUCGGGAAACUGAGAGUAAUACCGUAUACGCCCUACGGGGGAAAGAUUUAUCGGAGAAGGAUUGGCCCGCGUAAGAUUAGAUAGCUGGUGGGGUAAUGGCCUACCAAGUCUACGAUCUUUAGCUGGUUUUAGAGGAUGAUCAGCAACACUGGGACUGAGACACGGCCCAG
rnacentral:rRNA from 1 species